rnacentral:lncRNA from 1 species
UUUCUCGCUUCAUCCGCGGUCCCUGUCUGUUUUCGUUAUGGCGCCUUGUACUUCUACCCAACGUUGCCCGCCCCCCAUCUUCCCAGCCCACCAGCUCCGUCCGCCUCUCCGGAUGAUUCGUGAGAUACCGAGCCUGCCGGGAAGGGACCGGAUUUUUCCGUCUGGUCCAAGGAAGCACGGGUUAUGGCCACAUGCGCAGUGAUAACUCAGGGCCCCACGCCUUUUGACCCCUGUUGAUGAAGAUUGUGAGGAGGGAGACCAGAAGAUAAUGGACAACGAUACAGCAGAAGGGUCUGGUUACACUUGAGCUUAUUUCUUGGAAGAGUCUGAGAAGACGGCCUGUCAGGCUCCUAACACUAAGGGCCAUGUAACCAGUGAAGCAGCCAUUAUAUAUGAUUUGGUCUACACUUGUUGGGUAAGCUUAAGGAUUGUUAACCCUUUUCCUAAGUAGUAUAGCAGAAAUUCAGGUUUGCAUAGUGGCUAGCCAUCUAUAAGCCACCUCCAUAAUUUAUGUCUGAACUAGUUAGCUGUUCACAUCUGGGGCAAAGAUGUGUGCCAUGUUGGCUGGUAUUUGUCAAUUGAACAUUGCAUGAGUACAGACACUGGUCCAUGAUGAAACCCAUUAUCAGUGGACAUCUAUGGAUGAGAAAUGCGGAUAUGGGACUGAGACCAGUUCUUAGGAAAGCCUGAGUUGGGGAAUGAGCCUGAAGGUGGAACUAACAUAGACUUGCACUUCCUUUUCAGAAAAAUUCCACAAGAGGAUCUCCUGGAAGCUAGCAGAAGUUUUUGGCUUGUACAUUGCCAGGCAGCCAUUGGAAUCGGAGCUGCAGUCAGAUUAAGGCCAGCCUGGCCUACAUUGAGAAACCUCAUUUUGGGAAAGUGAAAUACUUUGUCAAUUAACAUGCAGUUGGUUCAAUAAAGACUUUUGGAAAG